GUAAGGAAUAUUGGACAAUGGACGCAAGUCUGAUCCAGCCAUGCCGCGUGAAUGAUUAAGGUCCUCUGGAUUGUAAACUUCUUUUAUAAGGGACGAAAAAAGGCUUUUCUAAGUCGUCUGACGGUACCUUAUGAAUAAGCACCGGCUAACUCCGUGCCAGCAGCCGCGGUAAUACGGAGGGUGCAAGCGUUAUCCGGAUUCACUGGGUUUAAAGGGUGCGUAGGCGGGCAGGUAAGUCAGUGGUGAAAUCCUAGAGCUUAACUCUAGAACUGCCAUUGAUACUAUCUGUCUUGAAUAUUGUGGAGGUAAGCGGAAUAUGUCAUGUAGCGGUGAAAUGCUUAGAUAUGACAUAGAACACCUAUUGCGAAGGCAGCUUACUACGCAUAUAUUGACGCUGAGGUACGAAAGCGUGGGGAUCAAACAGGAUUAGAUACCCUAGUAGUCC
rnacentral:rRNA from 1 species